rnacentral:rRNA from 1 species
AGUGAACGCUGGCGGUAGGCCUAACACAUGCAAGUCGAACGGCAGCACAGUAAGAGCUUGCUCUUACGGGUGGCGAGUGGCGGACGGGUGAGGAAUACAUCGGAAUCUACUUUUUCGUGGGGGAUAACGUAGGGAAACUUACGCUAAUACCGCAUACGACCUACGGGUGAAAGCAGGGGAUCUUCGGACCUUGCGCGAUUGAAUGAGCCGAUGUCGGAUUAGCUAGUUGGCGGGGUAAAGGUCCACCAAGGCAACGAUCCGUAGCUGGUCUGAGAGGAUGAUCGGCCACACUGGAACUGAGACACGGUCCAGACUCCUACGGGAGGCAGCAGUGGGGAAUAUUGGACAAAGGGCGCAAGCCUGAUCCAGCCAUACCGCGUGGGUGAAGAAGGCCUUCGGGUUGUAAAGCCCUUUUGUUGGGAAAGAAAAGCAGCAGGUUAAUACCCCGCUGUUCUGACGGUACCCAAAGAAUAAGCACCGGCUAACUUCGUG